rnacentral:rRNA from 1 species
UACGAAGGGGGCUAGCGUUGUUCGGAAUCACUGGGCGUAAAGGGCGCGUAGGCGGCUUUAUAAGUCGGGGGUGAAAGCCUGUGGCUCAACCACAGAAUUGCCUUCGAUACUGUAUAGCUUGAGACCGGAAGAGGUAAGUGGAACUGCGAGUGUAGAGGUGAAAUUCGUAGAUAUUCGCAAGAACACCAGUGGUGAAGGCGGCUUACUGGUCCGGUUCUGACGCUGAGGUGCGAAAGCGUGGGGAGCAAACAGG